AUCAGCAAGACUCCGUGGGCGUGGGACCCUCCGAGCCAGGUGCGGGAUAUAGUCUCGCGGUGCGCCGUUUUUUAAGCCCGUCGGAAAAGCGCAAUAUUCGGGUGGGAGUGACUCGAUUUUCCAGGUGCCUCCGUCACCCCUUUCUUUGACUCGGAAAGGGAACUCCCUGACCCCUUGCGCUUCCCAAGUGAGGCAAUGCCUCACCCUGCUUCGGCUCGCCCCUGGUGCGCGCACCCACUGACCUGCGCCCACUGUCUGGCACUCCCUAGUGAGAUGAACCCGGUACCUCAGAUGGAAAUGCAGAAAUCACCCGUCUUCUGCGUCGCUCACGCUGGGAGCUGUAGACCGGAGCUGUUCCUAUUCGGCCAUCUUGGCUCCUCCACCAGAAAUGAUGUAGCUUCUAUCAGGAAUCUGGUAGCAAUGCAAAGCUAAGAGAAGUUAGAACACUUGAAAUUAGCUAAGCGAGAAUGCCAUCAGCAGUGCAUCGAUCUCAGCUGCAUCCAGGUGUAUCAGUUGAAUGGCAGAGGGACUAGAAAUUACAUUUCACGAAGAAAAUUUACAGAACUAAAGAUAUUUAGGCUGCAAAAGAAAAGACUAAGGCACUGUGCUAAGUUGGACUUACAGAGAUGAAUAAGAUUUGGCCACAUCUUCAAGGAGCUCAGACCUUCAUGGACGUACCAAAUAUAUACAGAACUAACUCUACUGCUUAUCAUAAUGAGAGCUGUGCUAUGGAUAUUUGAAAGUUAGAGAGAUUUAUUUUCAACAGAAUAAUAAAGUCAACUUUCACAAACUGGUGACAGAUGAUCUGGGCCUUGCAGACAGGGGAGGACUGACAGAUUGAGAAGAGUAUUUGGUUAAAAACGGAUCAUAAACUGGUAUAAAUAUCUAAACAAACUCAUGAGAAUGAGCAGAGUCAGACACAAUAAAAUAAUUCAAAGAUAUAUCAGAUAAACCUGGACCCAAAAGUCAUGACUUUUUCUUUUCAGUUAACUCUGAACAAUUUACAAUAACUUCCUCAAUUAUUGUUUGUCUCAUUUUAACAUUUUGUAAUAACACCUAUGUCUCCAUAUUGGUAUGAAGAUUAAAUGAAAAUACAUCUAUGUUAGAUAGUCCCUAAGUUUCUGUCCCUGAUAUAAGUCCACCCUCCCCACCAUCAUGUGAUCACACGCAGGUGCACAUGCACAGAUGUAUACAUGCAUGCCGUUAUGGGGACAGUAAUUGCAAAUAUCAAUACUGUUAUGGUUGUUACUUCAGCCAUUGCACAAGUGUAGACCUCUGGAUCAACACACAUACGUAUGUGUAUGUGUAACAAAUAUAUGGCUAAUAAUGCAUAGGUUUCAUAGCUAUACCUUGAAAUCAAUUUAUUAAAGGGAUGUGUCCUUCCCAUGCUGACUCACCUACUGCGGCCCAAAAGCAACAACGUAAACUGCCCUGGAUAAAACAUCUGCAGACAAGAGAUCUCUAAGCUAAGCUACAGCUUCAUCAAGCAUGGAGUUAUCUCAUUUCAUAGCUUCACACACACAAAGGCGCGCGCACACACACACACACACACACACAGCUCUCAGCUGGAGACCGUCAGGGAAAACAAGUACCAGUGAGACCUGGGGAUCUUCAUUUGAUUUUGUCUACUGGGUGAGGCUGUGUUGAAAACACUUUGACAGAGGGCUCUUCUCUUGGGGCUCAUCAAAUAUUGCUGGUAGAGGGUUUGCUUGCUUUAAAUAUUCCUUUCCUCAGGUAACGAAGAAUACCAUGUAAUUUGUAAUGAUAACUUGGAUAAUGAAUGCACACUGUAGUCAGCCAUUACCAGUGGUAAUUGGUCUUCCUUUCAUCUCCUGUCAAGCAGAGUGGUUAGGAUUAGGACCAAAAGGCAGCUAUCAUCUCUCUCAUUUCCUGACUCAGACAAAAGGCAAAAAAAAAAAGGUGCCUGCUUGUGCUGAUAGGUGUCUGAUCAAAGCGGCUGAAAGCUGUCAGAAGCCAGCCAGCCUCAGCACCUGACUACUCCUUAAUGCAGCUUUGCCUUUGAUGUACAGGCAGUCCAACCGGGGUUCUAUUUAUGUAAAAAAAAAUAAUCAGGAUUGUAAUAGAACAGGAGAAAGUGUCAUUUUCUAUUUUGAUUCCAGUUUUGCAGUCUGACACCUAUAGGAAAUGUGGACUAAUUCUGUCCAGAGUAUGGUGUGUGUGUGUGUGUGUGUGUGUGUGUGUGUGUGUGUGUGUGUAACUCAAUAAAAUAAAAUAUCUUUGAAACUUCAUCAAAUACAUUUGGCAGUGAGCAGAAGUUAGAUUGCUGGUAGAAAGAAAUUAUCCUUCUUGGAAAGUAAAAAAAAAAUGCUUAAGUAAAAUUGCAGCAGUUUUGACAUGUGUAUUUUAUGUUUCAGAAAUUCUACAGGUUAUAGGUUUAUAAAUGGAGAACUGGUCUUGGAUUUAAAUGAAUUGGCAUCGUAUCUCAGACUUCUAGCUUUCUACCCAUGUGAAUUUAGGUGCGUACUAAUCACAUAUGUGUUUUAAGUUUAUCACUGGCUAUAUACAUGGUUACUUUUGUAUAUGCCUGUGCAUUGAAUGAAAAUACCUGGCAUGUGGUUGUUAUAAGCAAUAGACAGUUUUUGGCCAGAGAGCCAGGCAGACAAGUGUUAAUAUCACUUAAGCCCUCUGUGUCUCAAGUUCAAAAUUUCUAAAAUGAGUGAAUAUAAUAUUUGUUUGAAUUAAAGUAUACAAAGCAUGUAUCUCAGUGUCUAAGACAUUGUAAGACACCAAUAAAUGUCCAGUAUUUCUGUUGUUGUUGGUAUUUAUUUUUUAUUAAGGGAUUCUUGAAUUAAUACACCAUCCCUAGGGAAUUGCUGCCCUGUUUUCCUCAGCACUGUGAGCUUCUCCACGAACAAGACCGCUGUCUUUUAUGUCUGGGAUAGUUUGUUGAAUGAGU
rnacentral:lncRNA from 1 species